rfam:Camelus ferus unplaced genomic scaffold scaffold661, whole genome shotgun sequence.
GAGAGUAUAGCUCAGUGGUCGAGAGCAUGCCUAGCGUGCAAGAAGUCCUGGGUUCAAUUCCCAGUACCUCCA